rnacentral:rRNA from 1 species
AUACGUAGGGGGCUAGCGUUAUCCGGAAUUACUGGGCGUAAAGGGUGCGUAGGUGGUUUCUUAAGUCAGAAGUGAAAGGCUACGGCUCAACCGUAGUAAGCUUUUGAAACUAAGAGACUUGAGGGCAGGAGAGGAGAGUAGCAUUCCUAGUGUAGCGGUGCAAUGCGUAGAUAUUAGGAGGAAUACCAGUUGCGAAGGCGGCUCUCUGGACUGUAACUGACACUGAGGCACGAAAGCGUGGGGAGCAAACAGGAUUAGAUACCCUGGUAGUCCACGCCGUAAACGAUGAGUACUAGCUGUCGGGGGUUACCCCCCUCGGUGGCGCAGCUAACGCAUUAAGUACUCCGCCUGGGAAGUACGCUCGCAAGAGUGAAACUCAAAUGAAUUGACGGGG